rnacentral:tRNA from 1 species
GGCCCUGUAGCUCAGAUGGAUAGAGCAGCGGUUUCCUAAACCGUUGGUCGGGUGUUCGAGUCACCCCAGGGCUACCA